CUUGGUGAUCUAGAACCAGUAACUGAAGACAUGUUUUAUGCGAGGCUUAACAGUUUAUUUCAAAAUAUAUUUUUCAUUCCUACAAUACAUGAUUUUCUGUUCAUUUGAAGCAUUAGUGAGGCGACUAAUACAUCUAAUUACAUAAUUAGCCUGCAAUAUUUCGGAUGAUGUUUGUCGUUUAUCUCUGUUUACUUGUGUAUCUAAGAGUGUUCAUGUGUCAGGAAAAUUAUGAGUCAGUUGAGAGUAGUCCAUUUUUUGUAGCUUUUGAUCCUAGUCUACUUUUGGCCUGUUAUUCUUCUUUUAUAGAGGCCACGAUGGGCUUUGGUUUGCGGAAAACAUUUAUUUUGUUCUCAUAUAUAGUUAAAAACAGUGGCAGACCAAGGAUUCGGGUACGACCAGGGCUAAAUCCUACUGGCAAAAAAGUAAAAAUCCUAAAAGUAAAAAAAAACAUACCAUGUCAUCUUAAUUGACACUAUAUUACAUUCGAUCAUAUGAUAUUUUUAAAAAUUCUUUCUGAAAUCUCAUAGUAUGGUUUGUUGCUAAUUUCAUAGAAAAAUUGUGACCAACUGGUUAGCGCAGAAUUAAUAGAAAAUACUCCCACCUACAAGUAUUUCAAAUAUUAAAACGUAUCUCUUCAACUGGCUUGUGAAGGCUACUAUCUGCGAGAAUGUCAUCUAGAUUAAACUCAACACCAGGAUUCCUGAUUGACCACAAUGAUUAGGAUGUCUUGUUGUGGCUGAGUGUCUAGUUGGCCCAACCAACCAUCUGGUUUCUGUCCACAUCUAUUUGGAAUACCUGAGCCCAGAAUUGGCGAAUUGUGAAGCUGAUGAAACUAAGAUGACAUUUGUCGUGAUUAGAAAGAUUCUAACAUCUUUGCUCAAUUCAUUUUCUAUGUCUAUGUUGUCAGAUUGAAUAAAACCAGUUAAUCAAAGUGUCUAACCCCUAAUAUCAGUAUUUGGAAAUAGUAAUCAAAUAAGAGGAAACGAUUGGAAAGGCAAACAAUUACCUAAAAACCAAGAGCACCAAAUAAGACACCAGCCGCCCGUUGGAGGCGACGAGCCCAUAAUUCCAGCGGAACGCCGGAGUGUGGGACGGAGGCAACGGGCGUGGGGCUGCGCAGUGCGCUGUGAACAAAUUAAUUGACAACCUGGUUGUUGUUAGCCCUUGGCCUUCCGACUCCUUAACACGGGUUAAACUCCUGCGAAUUGCAAUUUUCAGUAAAAAAUCUGAAUGGGUUACCAGUACUACACGGGCCCAGACCAGGGCUGCAGCCCUGGCUGCUGGGUACACAGUUCCGCACCUGGUUAAAAUUACACUGACAAUAGCCCAUACCGUCUACUAUCUAGGUCGGAUACUCUGACUGCUAGUUUCUUAAUCUGUGCAAGUUUCAGUUGCUGUAUUGAUACUUCAUGCCAAAAUGAAACUCCAUGUGUCUAGUUGCUUUUAUUUGCCUCAUAGGCCCAAAACUUCCAACUGACAAGUUUUUUUUAAUCUUCUUAACUGGACAGGUAUGCGUGAACCCGAGUUUUGAAGGAAGACUUUUACUAUUUUGGAAGAGUCAAUUAAUGAUAGAGGUGGUAAUUUUGUGGAUGCAGUGGUGUAAUCCAACGGUUGAGAUGCAAUGAUUAAUUAACUUGUCCUAAAAACAAUUAAGCAACUUGUAUGAGAAUUAUGGGACGCGUGGCUCCUCUGGGGACUAUAUAACCAGGGAGAGUGGGAGGAUGGGUGGCACGCUACCAAAAACCCUAUUUUCUUUGUCUUGUCUAUUUUCCUGCUUUGCCUUGUUCUUUAGCUUUUCUUUUUUUCCCAGCAAGAUAUCACUGUUUGGGCCUGAACCGCUAGGCGCUAGCUGCCCAGCUCAAUCCUAGCAGCGGAGACUGCCACGGGGCCGGCCCUGAGGGAGGGCGAUGGCCUGGGCCCCCGAAACCAACUGGGGCGUAUGCAGUGAGGUGGCGGCGCCAUUAGAUGCAAAUUUGUCUGUCGUGCUGUUGGAGACGAUGGAGGAAGCUGGAAUCUGGAAUCGUUACAUCUUACUAAUGGGCUGAAACUUGGCCCUUUUUUCCUAGCAUGGGCUGUUUCUCCUUUUGUUGGCAAGGAGGGCAACGAGGAGUGGGGCCUAUGGGACAGACACAAGAGCGAUCCAGGAAUUUCAGCACAAAAUUGAUGUAUUUUCUUCGGCUCAAAAACCAAUGGAGGCAUUUCUCGUUCCAUUUCUCUAAAAACAAUUCAAACCAAUCUAAUGUUGAGUGCUCUAAUCUAUAUCUAUACCUAAUAAUAAAGGCACUAAGGUUUCUCCUUGUACGUCGUUUUUGGACGAUUUUACCCCUAUUAGUUCGGAGAAAUAUCAUAGACUGCCACCGAUAAGUGAGGCUCGUACCGGUUUGGCAUUUUUUCCCCUAGUCGUCUAUCGUUUUGGUCGGUGGAAGCGGAUGCAGGGCCGGACACAGAGGUGCCACCGGGGAGCUCCGCCGAGCAGUUAGAAGUCGGUCAGAGGAAGCGGACUUCAAAGAGGUAGGGCCGACGUGGAGGCUCCCGAGAAAGGGGCCCGGAAGAGGCGGAUGUCGAGGAGGCAAGGCCUCCCGAAGGGAUUUGUUGGAUGUGGACAUCGCCCAUCGCUGCUGGGCCUCGCCACCGGGGCAAGCUCCUCGUGUGCGGCAGGAGAACGGCGGGCGGGAUUGGGAACAUAGGGAGGGGUGCGCAGCUUGGGAUUGUGGGGCGGUUAUUUGCAGGGAGCCAGCGACUGCGGCAUCAAGCCAGAUCCGGUGGAUCUCCGUGAGGCAAGCAACGACAUUGAGGGAGACAGCAAAGGUGACAUUGAGGGGCUUGAUGCCGUUUGCCUCUCUUCUGUGUCCGGACCACACAACCCUCCUUUCCCAACACGCAAUCGGGUUCACAGGUGCUCGAUUCAUCAGCAAAAGGGGAGAGAAGGAUGUGAGUUGUGGGAGGAGCCCCCGUGUGGACCAGAUUGCGGACGGAGGGAGGCCCAACCCGACGCCGGCGUCUGGAAAAGAACAUCAGCGGCGUUGGCGCCUUCGUCGAGCGGCCGAGGCCGCGGAGUAGUCCAACCUGCGGUCGAGGUCCAGGAAGGAUCAUACGACCGUGGAGCUCCUCGUCGAUUUGAACAGGCGGAGGCCUAGGAUGUGCAGCCGCAGCGCCUCCGGCAGUAAACGUCGCAGUGCCUCAGGCGGGAAACAGAUGCUCCUAUGUGCGCGUGGAAGAGGUCCAGGAUCCAUCCGCGCAUGCUAGCUGUCUUGGAAUAUAUCGGUACAGAUCCCAAAUGUUUUGUUGAUUGAAUCAGACAAAUUUGUAUAUUCUAAUUUGCAGUGCGAGAAUUGGAGUUCACCGAAUGUGCAAACCAAAGAUGCAAAUUUUUAGAGACUUCUCCAAAUUCACAUGAUAGUCAAAUUUGACACAUCCGUUGGCUAGGGUUAUGAUGGGCGAUCAAAGUUUAGCGCACCUUUUUUAUCGCGCCAGUUUUGCACCAAAAGUUCAUAUAUUUUUUUCGUGGCAGCGCACGGGCAAAUUUGCUAGUUGUCCUCAAAUGAGCAACAACUAACCCUAGUGCGAUAAACCUGGUGCGCCAGAUCUUAAAGAGCUAGGGUGGCAUCAAGUCAAAUGUAAGACAAUGGAGUAAUCAUCAGGAGAUGGGGGUAGACAAUAGUUUGGCAAAGACCGUAACUCUGAUCUAAACCUAAAAAGAAUAAUUCAAAUGCCCAUCAGCUAACCCUUUGUUGGCAUGCCACAGAACAACCAUAUCGUUCUUUGCCGGACGCCAACCAACAGUAUAGCUCACCACCACAAGGUCACGAUAAUAGACGCCGCACUAUAGCACCCGCAUGUAGCAUAAUUUUUUCAUAAUUAUUUAUUUAAUUGGUAGAUUGAUUUCACUGAAAUGCACAUCACAAUUUUGGCGUGACAUACCUAUUGGCGAAAUGCUAUGUCCGCCACUGCAGUCGGAACAUGUUCUAAUUGGAAACGACAUAUGGUUUUCUAUGGUACAAUCAUUGCCUGGCGUGUGUGGGUUAAAUCUUUAGCAGUGAUGUAGAAAGCUUGCGUACUGUAGCAUUGUUUUUCUAUCUCUCGGGGCAAACUUGCAAUAGACAUGUUGUGCUCGGAGUUCGUUCAGUUAGUAAUUGACUAAUAAAUUUAAGAAAUCUAAUUGCAUGUUUGGUUUAUAUGCAAUGACAGUUUCAUGUUUUUCAAAAAGUCUAGGAGCUUUUAGAGAGUGAAACCAUAGAUGAUUCCUCGAGCUACCAACUGCAAGCUAACGUUCUUCAUUUACUCGACAUGUUGAUGCGGAUUCGAGUUUAAGACAUCGUACUAAUUUAAAACUAUCUCUUGUUUAAAUACCCCGGCAUGUAAAACGGUAGGGGAAGAAUAGAGAUAAUAUAUGAAAUACGAAAAUGAGUGAGUAAGAGCAUCUCCAGCGAGCCGACGCAAAUACCCCUGGCGCAACAGGAAUCCCAGUCCUACACGAUUCAGGAGACCGGGGAGGCAAACCGCUUGGCACUGCUAUGGGCAGACGAGGAGGAGAGCGCGCGCUGGCAGGCAGCCAUGGAUGAGAAGCGGCAUCAGAGGAAGGCCGAGGAGGCAAAUGCGUGCUGGAAGGCAGCCCUGGAGGAGGGGCAGCAACAGAGGGAGACCAUCAGCCAUGCUCGCAUUGACGCGGCCAUCUAGAGGGUGCGCCGUGCCAUAGGCCAGGGGCACAUCGACGAAUCCCGCGACGAGGGCGGCCACAGAGGCCGAGCUGACGACGACAUGUAGGCUCGGCCGAGGAUGGCUGGCGACGAGUUGGCUGGGCCGUCGAAGGGCCCCGGGCGUAGAAUCUAGUACCCAGUAGUUUCAGCAAAACUUUUUAACUAUGCCUAUUAAUUGAACUACUAGUUAUAUGAAUUGUGAUCACCGGAAGACGGACCCGAACGCAGAGUCGCGGGCCGUUCGCGCGCGUCCGCCAGCCCGAGCCAGCUUUGGGUCCGUUUGCGUCGAGUCACAGGCCGUGUGUCGGCUAUCCGCCUGUCUGAACGGAAAGAAACGGAUGCUUCCGGUCGAUAUGCAUGGAGAUGCCCUAAAUAAAGGAACAUCGUGACCAUAAGCUGCAGUCCAUGGAUUGGCACUGGAUGAGAUUGCUGGAACUAAGAGUUCCCACUCGAGGAGGUUUGAUACAGUGCAUGAAAGUUUCCGAGAGCGAGAAAAUGGUUUAUUCGCUUGGUGAAGGGCCUCCCGAAAUUCUCAACGGUGCUAGACAUGAACCACUCGGUCACUCUGAUGUUGCAUCAUGGGCCUGGAAGAGGACUACAUGAACGAUGUCCUCUUGCGCAACAUGGGAUGCUGUACGAAGAUGAACUCCCCAUGGAUUGGCAUAUGAAAUAUUUGGGUCGAAGAAGGGAUGGGGAGCAGACGGACUGAGUUGUUGCAAAGAUUAGGUGUCGGUGAAGACUGAAGACUAUAGAUGCAACUGGGAUGGAAUGUCCGCUUCCCGUAAUAUACUACCCACCGGUAUUUACGCGAUUAUAGCUAGGGACACGAGUUAUCCGACCUGAAACCUUACUGAAGACGAACAGUGCAUGCGAGCUGGCCUAAUAAUCACGAGCAGUGUCCCGCUUGCAUUAAUUAAUACGGUGUACAUGUACGUAUAUGGACGGCGUGACCCCACGGUUCUCCACCGUAAUUCUCACCAAGCCAGUAAGUACUAGUAUCGCUUACUACAUUUUGUUAUCAUUUUAACAUAGACCACACACAUAGAUCUCGCCAAAAGAAAUGAGAUUAAACCAGAUCUGGAUGUUCAUUUUAGUACUACUAAUCAACUGAAUUUGCUAUCCGGCCCUCACUCCCCGGGUACCCUAUGGCCAGGGUUUUUCUAUUCACCCCAAUCCUGAAUCUUAGGCGGCAUCAAGUUUUUCUCUCUGAUCUCAAUUGGAUCUGCACCCAAAUCUCUACCAAUACAGAUUGUCAUACACCUCGGAGAGAGAUCUCAUAUGUCUAUUAGCUUCCUCCUUUGGAAAACAAUCACCGCUCCCACUAGCGUUGAAUCCCCUGAGGACAUCGCAAUGGGAGUGACAGGUUUGAGCCAAUGUGACAUUAGGAAGAAUGUCAUAUUCGGAAUGAUAUUGAGACCAAUGUCAAAUAGGGUCGAUUUUUUUAAUUUUCUCCUAUGGUUGCAGAACUAUUGAAUGAGGAAUGCACGAGAGGCUAGGGUGCAAGUUGGAGCAUACUCUCCGUGGUGCCCCUAACCCAGCCCCCCUGUAAGUGUAACCCCGUUCAUAGGCGCCGUCUUCAAGAGCACUAGAAUUGGUGGAAUAAGUAGAUUUAAUAUGUUUACUUUACUGUUUUUGGUUAUAUUCCUCCUCUUGGAAGGCCGAAUGGCAAGUAUGUUGCAAAGUCAAUGCAUAAGUGUGUAACUUAGUCGUGUUGAAAUCUUUGGGCGUGUCCAACGUUUUGACCAAAAAAUUGGAACAUGUUUUGAGUAAUUGUGAGUUCCAUGUGUGCCAACUAUUUUCUCAGAUUUGAAUUGAUAUGAGGAUAUUGUUUUCAGACUUUUUGCAAAAAAGAAAAGAAAAGGGGAGUAAACCAUGGCAUCUGCAUGAAUUGAUGCACAAAACAGUUAAGUAAUUUAGAAUAUUUUCACGGAAACAUUUCCCUAAGAGCAUCCCCAGCCGAGCCCCCCAACCGGCCCCCAAUGGGUUUGGGGGGUGCCGGGCGUGAAAAUCGACCCAGUCGCACCCACCCAACCGUUUUUUGACUGCCGGCCGACCCCGCUGAGAGCGCCGGCAACCCCGCUCCGCACCCGGUCCACAGGGGGUCUAGCGGGGGCGCCGGACGUCGAAUUCAACAGAGUUACAAACGGUAGGCCCGCCUUGCCAGAGAGUGGGCUGGCUUUGGCAGGCGUUAUCGGCCUGUUGUUCCCAACUCCGGCGAGAUAAACAAAAUAACAUAGAUAGAUUCGAGAUAACCUAGAUACAAACUACUACUAAUAGACCUCGCCGCCGGCCUCCUACACCUCCUAUUCGAGGUUCACGACGUCCACCUCCGGGGGCACCAUGCGGAGCGGCUGGAUGCAGACCACGCCGUCACCGUCGACGAUGGGCUCGGGCACCCGCUCCUCCUCCUGCUCCUCUGGGAACGCCGUAGCGCGGCGCCGGAUCACCCGCCGAUGUGGAAGGUACCGACGACGCACGGAGGAGGCGUGACGCGCGACUGGUGGAGGCGCACGAGGAGCGGCCGGAGUCGCACGUCGGGCUGCUCCUGGAGGCAGCGCCGGUUGGCCGGAGACGAAGCCCCAGUGCGGAGGGAGGGGAUGCGCUCCGCGGAGAGCACCCACCCGUUCGGCUGCACCGAGCCGAUGCAUGGCACCGGCUGCCGGUACUCCCAGAGGGCGAGGGCGUGCUUGGUGCGCAGGUUGUAGCGCGGCGUCGGCGUCCUCUUCUUCUUCCCCGACGACGAGCCUGCCGGAAGGGCGAGGAAGGUCUCGGGCUCGCCGUCGCUUGCCAUGGUGGAGGAGUAGAAGAGGAGUGGAAGAGGAGGGGAGUGAGCCUUCUAGGCGGCGACGCGCCCGUUUUAUGCCUGGCCGCGCCGCGUGCCAUUAACUCCGGCGUGGGGAGGCGAGCCGGCACGCGUCACCGACCUCGCCGUCGUUUUGUGUCGCCUGGGGAACCGGCGAGGUCAUUUACUAAGUUUGACCACGCCUCCCCGGGUCGCUGCCAGGCGAGCCCCACUGGAUCCCGCUGAACGCCGUUCAUAACGGCCGUUGAUGCGUGUGUUUGGGGGUUCUCGAUGGGGGCGACGACCGGGAGACGCGCCGGACACGCACGGAAAACGCGCGCCGGUCCACCCUCAAACGAACGACCGGGCGACACGCCCGGUCGUCGUUUAGGGGUCACGGCUGGAGAUGCUCUAAGAUCCGCUCUUUUAUUUGCACGCACUAGGAUGUGGACAUACUAUGGACAAAGUCAAGGAAAAGUAGACCGAUUAUGUGUGAAAAAAGGGGCAAAUAUGAGUGGCCUUGGAUACAUUGAUUUUUUUUUGCACGCGAAGGUGUUUUGAAACUGUUUGUUUUCGCUAUUAUGGUUGGACAAAAUUAUGAGGAUUCAAGACCACUUCGAUGAGCGACAGUUUGAGAAAAUCAUCUUUCUAAAGAUUUUUUUUGUUCCAACUGACUGAAUUUAGGCUGAAAAUAAAUCAAAAUUUCUGAAAAGAAGGAGAAAUAUUUGUUUCCAGAGGUCGGGAGCACGGGAUCUGCACUCCCAUCCCACGAGACUGAACACGAGCUGACAUAUUGCAGCGAGCAUGUCAGAUCUAUAUAGCCUAACAAGAAAGCAAUCAAGGAUUCAUACCAAAAUCAAGUCUAUGCCUGACUAUGAAAUUUAGGGAUUAGCUUGUUCGUGAAGAAAACAGAAACAUGAUACAUGUAUUGCGAUGGGAAGGCAAACCUUGAUAGUCGUCCAUUGAUCGCCGCGCCUGCUGCCCGGACGGAGAGAAAUCCGGAGAUGUUGAAAGAUGAACAACAUGAAAGAGCAGGGCAAAGGGCUGCCGCUUGCACCUCUGCUCGAUCUGCAGACGAGGGCCUGCCCACCGCCGGCUAGCUGGGCGAAUCUUCAGCGAUCUGGGAUUGUAGAUGGCGUGAGGCAGAGGAUAAGAAAACGGGGAAAGAGAGAGAGCAGCAGGCCAUAAAUAAUUGAUCGUUAUGUCAGCUGGACGUGACCUCCAUCGGAAAGCACGGCUGCACAAGGGGCCGGCUCCCUCGCGGGCUCAUGAGGUCAGUGGUUACAGGGUACUUAUGUUGGUUCACCUCGGGAGUCACCAACUCGUCCCGACCAAGGAGCGAUCUGAGAUCUGACCCGUGAUUUACCGGAACGGAAAGUAGAACCUGGCUGACGUCUCCGAGUACAAUACCUGAGACCGGCGGCGGUGGCAGGCAAACUCGGACCAAUAGGGCACGCUACCGGAGAGGCAAUUCUACCUGUUUUUUUUCUUUCUCUUAUAGGAGGAACGCUCAUUUUAUUUUGCAAAAAAAUCGGUAUUUUUCCCGUGAGAUUUGAUUUUCUAAAUAAACGUUUUGUGCCGUUUAACUACUUCGUCCUAAACCAAUUAAGUAAGAUUUGUCUAAAUACGCAUGUGUGCGUCAAUUAAUCUAGGACGGAAGAAGUAUUUUUUCACUUAAAAAGAUGUCCGUUACACUUACGCAACUCACUUAAAUAAACCAGUCGCGCGUCACGCCUCCUCCGCGCAUCGUCGGUACCUUCCGCAUCGGCGGGUGAUCCGGCGGCGCGCUACGGCGUUCCCAGAGGAGCAGGAGGAGGAGCGGGUGCCCGAGCCCAUCGUCGACGGUGACGGCGUGGUCUGCAUCCAGCCGCUCCGCAUGGUGCCCCCGGAGGUGGACGUCGUGAACCUCGAAUAGGAGGUGUAGGAGGCCGGCGGCGAGGUCUAUUAGUAGUAGUUUGUAUCUAGGUUAUCUCAAAUCUAUCUAUGUUAUUUUGUUUAUCUCGCCGGAGUUGGGAACAACAGGCCGAUAACGCCUGCCAAAGCCAGCCCACUCUCUGGCAAGGCGGGCCUACCGUUUGUAACUCUGUUGAAUUCGACGUCCGGCGCCCCCGCUAGACCCCCUGUGGACCGGGUGCGGAGCGGGGUUGCCGGCGCUCUCAGCGGGGUCGGCCGGCAGUCAAAAAACGGUUGGGUGGGUGCGACUGGGUCGAUUUUCACGCCCGGCACCCCCCAAACCCAUUGGGGGCCAGUUGGGGGGCUCGGCUGGGGAUGCUCUUAGGGAAAUGUUUCCGUGAAAAUAUUCUAAAUUACUUAACUGUUUUGUGCAUCAAUUCAUGCAGAUGCCAUGGUUUACUCCCCUUUUCUUUUCUUUUUUGCAAAAAGUCUGAAAACAAUAUCCUCAUAUCAAUUCAAAUCUGAGAAAAUAGUUGGCACACAUGGAACUCACAAUUACUCAAAACAUGUUCCAAUUUUUUGGUCAAAACGUUGGACACGCCCAAAGAUUUCAACACGACUAAGUUACACACCGGGACCCCUUGGUGGCUCACAAUCGUCUACCGACCGCUAAGCGACACCAACAAAAUAGUGUUCAAGGAGGUCACGGGCGUGCGCGCAUUGCCGGGCAUGUGGUUACUCUAUAGUGAUUUCAACCUAGUCUCUACCACGACAAGGACAAGAACAAUAGUAACCUGAACAGACGCAUGAUAGCUCGGUUCCGACAGAUGCACAAUCACCUAGCGCUGAAGGAGAUCUAUCUACACGGGCACAGAUAUACCUGAUCGAACGAGCACAUAUAUACCCGAUCUCUUCUUCUGCACCUCAGAUUGGGAGGACCAGCACGGGGAGUGCCACCUGCGAUGCCUGGAGUCUGUGGUCUCUUAUCACAGCCCGCUACUGCUCGAUUGCGCACCCCUGCCACCUGCUCAACGCUGGUUCCGGUUUGUGGAUUUAUGACUGCACCUCGACAACUUCGCGAUACCGUCUCGGAAGCUUGGUGCUCUGUGCAUGGCAUGGACCCCUUCCGUCGGCAAACGUUGCGCCUACAGGCUAGACUGUAGGAAAGCUCACCAGCCGGAGUGCCAAGUCUAUCGGUAGCGUGUGUCUGAAGGUUGCGAUCGCUUGGGAAGUGAUCCUCUGUUUCAACAGGGCGUAGGAGGAUUGGCUGCUCUCGCCGCAUGAAACGUGACUACACAGACAACUCAAGGUUUCCUACCUCGGGUUUGCGUCUCUCGGGCAAACCAUCGUCUGACAGCACGCUAAGUUUGCCACGCUCAAAGACGGUGGCGCCAACACGACAUCCUUCCACCAUCAGUGCACCUACCGGUGGCAGAAGAAUAGGUUGCACGCCAUCACCAUCGGUGACUUCAUCAUCACUGAGCAAGCCGACACGGCCGAGGCUACGUUCUUCCUCUUAGAUGGGCUCCCGAGCACGGUUGCCAAACGCGAGCAUACGCUCAAUUUUGCCAUCUAAUAAAGCAUAACGGUGAGCUGCAUAACCUCAACGCAAAUUUCGUCGCUGACAAGAUUUGGGAGACGGUGAAACGCAUGGCGGCGCAGAAGGCACCAGGUCCUAACCGAUUCACUGUGGAAUUCCUGCGCACUUGUUGGAUUAUCAUCAAGGGUGGCGUGGUAAACAUGUUCCACAGCUCUACGAGUUGUGUGGUCGCGGUUUCCAUCGCCUAAACAAGGCUAGGCCUUAUUGCCAAGGCGGGCCGACGCGAGCGCCCUAGGCGACUACCAGCUAAUCAACCUCAUACACAUGAUCGCUAAGGUCUUUGCCAAGCUCCUUUUGCUACGCCUCGGCCCCAAGCUCGACCGCCUCGUCAAUGCCAACCAACGGCUGGAGUCUCCACAACAACUUUGUGCUCGUGAAGCAAUCCACCCACCUAUUGCCCAACUGUGCCCCACAGGUCCUACUCAAGCUCGACCUUGCCCGCGCGUUCGACACCGUCUUGUGGUCCUUCCUGUUCAAGGUGCUACAACAAUAUGGGUUCAACGACAUGUUCAUCAAGUGGCUCGUGAUCCUGCUAUCCUCCACCAACACACAUAAGUGCCGAUCAACGGAGAUCAAGGGCCACCAGACGUGGGCUACGCCAGGGGGACCCAUUCUCGCCCCAGCUGUUCAUCCUCACAGUCGAUGUCCUCGAGAUCCAGCAUAUUGUCAACACCGACAUCAUACAACGGCUUCAUCCACGCCAAAAAAUACCCAUGUUUUCGCUAUACGCUGACGACAUCGUGAUGUUCAGUCACAGGACGGCGAGCGAUGCGGUCGCAAUUAAGGAGAUCUUGCAGCUCUUUGGACACCAUUCGAGCUUAAGGUCAACUUCACUAAGAGAUCUGCUUCGCUCCUUAACAACGACAUUGACGCUACAGCACCGCCCAAAGAGCUCCUCUGAUGCCCAAUAGUCGAGCUUCCCCUCAUCUAUCCGAGAAUUCCUCCAACCAUCUCGCCCCAUCGCACCACAAUUGCAACCUCUCGUCGUUAGGUUAGCGGUCGGGCUGUCGACGUGAAGGUCGGGCUCAUGAACAAGGCGGUACGCUUGGCAAACAUUAAUUGGUGCUAAGCACAAUCCCCUUGCACCAGUUGAUGGUCCUGGCACCACCCAAACAAUUGCUUGAGCUAUCUCCCUCAAUUCUUCCAUGCCCAUCACUGAAACUAAUCCGCCUACUUACAUGUUCUCUUAAGCCUAGCUAUCAUAUCAAGUGGAGGAAGCAACUGUUGUUUCCAUUUCUCUAUCAUUAUUAUUUAGUGUACACUCGAUGAAUCAUGUAAUCUGAUCUGAAUAAAUUUAGUGGGCUCGCUGAUCCUUACUAUUGUGUAUAACUACAAGAUCUGCAGCAGGCAUGGCGCGCGGCCGCGCCAUGCAAAAUUCUACAAUAUUUUGGUUGUGGUAUCACUCGUCAAAUCGUUGUUAGUACAUUAUUCGAUGACAGUUAGAAUGGCAUUCUCAAACUUCGCUAAGUACUUCACAGUAUUCUGUUAUUUUUGCUGAUAAUUAAUAAGCUUUCAGGUUGUUGCACCAAAUUUAAAAGCUUUUCAAUCCCAUAUUAGCUUAACUAAAUGUUGUUCAUUGAUGAACAUACUACAUUCAUAUUUUGUGGUGCCACUUGUAAGUGAUUUAUUGUCUUGCAAGUUUUGGGUAGCCUAUUAAUAGAAACACAUCUUUGCGUCUCAAAAGAGGCUUCCAGCAGUAGACUUCGCGACACGUCAAUCUGAAUCAGAAGUGGGUUGACCACUCGACCUCUCUGCUCUCGUGACCCUCGAGGCGUUUCUAGAAUUCUCUUGCUGCACGCUGCUGCCGAUGUGUACUCGGUUGCCGGCGUGCACUCCAAGGUGGCCGGUGGGCUGUUUCCGGCUAUGCAAUAGGCUCUUCUUGCACUGGUUCGGACCUCGCCUUGAGCCGCAUUCCAUGUGAGUCGCAUUUGCUCUGCUUCUUCUCCUACGCUUCUGGCCAAAAUUUGUGAGCUCCUUGUAUCCUAGGUGUCCGCUGAGUUGUGAGCUUCUUACUCGGGUUGACAAAGGGGAAGACCUGUAUGCUUGGAUCUCGCUUUGUGCAGCGCUCGCCUAGAGUUUUAUCUUGUUUCAUUUCUGGAUCCCGUGUCUUGAUGCUAUGAGCAUAGCUAGCAAGGGAAAGAAUGUGUCGACAGAUGAUGCUGAACAGAGCCGAAUUCAGCAGAGGGCGGGGGACAAAGGCAUGGGGUGGAGGAGAUGCUGAAUCGCCUCAAUAUUUCAGACGGUGAAGACGCGCUUGGUGCUCAGUGACGAUGAGGAUGCCUCUGAGGGGUUGGGGCUAUCGGUGAUUGGGAAGGUCCUGCUGCACCUGCAGACGAUUAUGGCGGCAAUGAAGCCAGCAUGGGGGAAUCCUAAGGGCAUUCACCCCAGAUCAGCUGGAGAAACCCUAUUCAUCGUUGAUUUCAUGACUAAAUGUGAUAGUGAGAUAGCCCUCAAUGGCACUCCGUGGAUGGUAGGAAAACAUGUUGUCUUGCUACAGAAGCUCAAUCCAACUCUCAAACCAUGUUUUGACAAGAUGGACAUUUGGGUGAGGGUGGUUGAUUUGCCCUUCGAUUGGAUGAACGAUCGAAAGGGAAAAAGAACCGCUUGUCUGGGUGGGACUGUUGAUAAGGUGGACGUGGGUGGCCUCGUCGGGGAGUGUGUACUCUAAACAACCACUUGUUAGAGAUAACAGGGCUGACGAGGAGGUAUCGUCUCCACUGAAAGCGCACACUGUGACAGUUGCGGGAAAAGGCAAUAAGUGUUGUGAGCCCAAAGAAUUGUUCCCUGUGGCAAAGUCUGGGGUUGUCGCUGCUACACAGAGAAAGAGGAAGCCUUCAAGCGCUCAAAAGAAUAAUCUGGUGGUAGAAAUGGUCCAACAGAUUGAAGAGUCAAACAAUCUAGUGAUGGUCCCAAUCAUGCAAACUUAUGUGGGUGGUGGUGCGUCCUCCAUGUCAGGUCCAGUUUUGGCAGAUGUAGCUGUUUUCGAGGUGGCUAACAGAGGCAAGAUCAGUUUAUGUUCUAGGCAGAAUCGGUGGUGGCUAACAGAGGCAAGUGAAGCCCAACUUCACCGGCCUCAAUGUAUCUCCUAAGUCUGAACUGUCGGGUUGUGGGAAGCCCGAGGCAGUUCUUGAGCUCCACCAGUUGGUGAAGCAGGACCGUCCCGACAUUGUCUUCCUCAUGGAGACAAAGAUGACUGUAGAAGGUGCGCUUGCAAGUUCGCUCGCUGGUACGUUGGUGUGCUUAGAAGUUAAACUACGUAGGGAGGGAGGUGUUGAUUAAAUCGGUCGCCCAAGCAAUCCCAACCUCUGCCAUGAAUUGCUUCGAGUUAAGGGUGCAAACUUGUAAGAAGGUGACGACAAACAUCUCCACUUAUUUUUGGGGUGGAACUUUGAACAAGAGGAACAUGCAUUGGCUUUGGUGUGACCAUAUGACAAGAGCAAAAGCUACAGGUGGGAUGGGCUUCCGGGAUCUCGAAGUGUUUAACCUUGCCAUGCGAGGUAAACAAAGCUGGAGACUAUUGAUGCAACCUGAUUCUCUUUGUGCGCGGGUGUUGAAGGGGAAAUAUUUCCCUCAUACAGACUUCCUCCUUGCUACAAAGAAGAAGAAUUCAUCCCAUACUUGGAGAGCGAUUCUAUCUGGACGGGAGGUGAUGAUGAAAGGCCUAAUUAAAAGAGCGGGCAGUGGGGAAACAAUUGAUGUUCGGAAUGAUAAGUGGAUCCCGAGUGUGCGAUGGUUGAAGCCUUUAUUCAAGCCUGUUGACAGUACCGUCUCGAGAGUCAGCGAACUCGUGAACGAAGAUGGCUAUAGCUGGAAAAUUGAUCUGAUGCGCAUUCAGCUUGCGCCCCUCGAUGCUGCUGAAGUAUGUAAAAUUCCCAUUGGAGGGCUAGAGGAAGACACUCUAGCUUGGGCUCAUGAGAAACAUGGCAACCACUCUGUUCGAUCGACGUAUCACAUGAGGCCGCAGUUAUAACUUGUACUGCUUGGAGCUUAUGGACGUCAAGGAACAAUCUGCGCCAUGGCACAAAUUGUACGACACCUCGACUGUUAUGGUCGGUCUUACGUAUAGCCGUAAGAAGCCCACUAGUGGCUAGUUAUGGGCUUAGCCCAAGUUAUCUAGGGUUUAGAGGAGGUUGUCCUCCUAUAUAAACAUAUGUACCCCUUCGUAAUCAAACAAUAAACAGUAUUAAACUGUCGUCUCCUUCAGGGAGACGAGAGACCCCAAACCCUAGCCGCCUCCUGCCCUAGCGCCGCCUCCUCACCCGCGCAGCGACGGCGCACCGCCGGCGCCAGCGCCCCCAAUUCCUCCGCCCUCACUUCCACCCCUACAACCUCCACUUCCACCCCUACAAUCUCCGUCCGAGACCUGGUAGAACCCUAGCCUCUACCAAUUUGGUAUCAGAUUGCUUUGGUUCGAUGGGUUCCAACGGCCUCCCCACCACACCAUCGCCCCCGCCACCUCCGCCGCCGACGCCAACAUCAUCGCCGCCACCUCUCAGCAGAUGCCACACCACCUGCAGCCGCCGGCGUCCGACGCAGAUGCCCUAGCGGCCGACGUGCUCCCCACGACGCUGUCCGAGGUGGCCCUCGCCCUCCGCGACCUCCGCCGCGAGAUGGCCGAACUCCGGGCCAGCCAACACCCGCCCCCGCCGCCGACGGUCGUGCCCCUCAUCCCGCCGCCACCGGCGGCCGUCGCCAACCACGGGCGGCCGCUCCAUCAGGUCAAGUGGCCGGCCUCGCCCUCGGCCAUCCCGUCGUGGGCCGACACGCCCACCUACACGCAGGCGCCUCUCCAAACCACGGUGCAGCAGCAGCCCGUCCACGCCUUCGGCGGACUCGGCGGGUUCGCUGCCCCUUACGCAGGGAGCUCGUCACUCGCCUCCGGUCGCAAGGAGGGCGCCUACGCGGCGGCGCCGCACGUGCAGCAGCCGCCCCGCUUCACCAAGCUGGAGUUCGCCACCUACGACGGCACCGUCGACCCCCUGAACUGGCUGAACCAGUGCGACCAGUUUUUCAGGGGGCAGCGGACGCUCGCGUCCGACCGCACGUGGAUCGCCUCCUACCACCUCCAUGGCGCCGCGCAAGUGGUACUACGCUCUCGAGCAGGACGAGGGCGGGAUGCCUUCGUGGGAGCGCUUCCGUGACCUGUGCCUCCAACGGUUCGGCCCGACCCUCCGCGGGAGCCGACUCGCCGAGCUCGGCCGCCUGCCCUUCACCACCACGGUGCAGGACUUUGCCGACCGCUUCCAGGCACUGGCCUGCCACGCCCCGGGCGUCUCGGCGCGUCAGCGCGCUGACCUCUUCGUCGGCGGCCUCCCCGACCACAUCUGCGUCGAUGUCGAGAUGAGGGAGCCCCAGGACCUGCAGACGGCCAUGUACUACGCGCGCGCAUAUGAGCAGCGCGCCCUCGCCAUGUAGCAGGUGUACGCGAGCCGCGGCGCGCGGCCCCUGCCUCGGUCCGCCCCGGCGCCGACCGCCCCGCCCUCCCAGCCACGCCAGCGGCCACCCCCGCGCCGACACGUCCCUUCAAGCGCCUGACGUCCGCUGAGCAGCUCGAUCGGCGCCGCAAGGGCCUGUGCUUCAACUGCGACGAGCAGUAUGCGCCGGGUCACACGUGUGCCCGCCUCUUCUACCUGGAGACCGUCGACGAAGCUGAGGUGGAGGCCCUCACUGCGGAGCUCGCGGCCGCCGCCAUCACUGAGGCUGGUGUCACGACCUACGCGCCGGUCGACGCGUCCGCCUUCGUCGUCUCUCUUCAUGCCAUGGCGGGCAUCAAGACGGCGAAGACGAUGCUGCUCCCGUGACGAUCAAUGGGGAGCGCCUUACUGCACUCGUGGACACGGGCUCGACGCACAACUUCUUGUCCAACACCGCCAUGCGCCGCCUUGCCCUCCAGCCGGCGGGCGCGGAGCGGUACAGCGUCACCGUCGCCAACGGGGACCGUCUUACGUGCCAGGGCGUGGCACGACAGGUCCCCGUCCUCAUCGGCGACGAGCCUUUCUCCAUCGACUGCGUCAGCAUCGACUUGGGCUGCUACGACUUCAUCCUCGGCCUCGACUUCCUGAGCACAUUAGGCCCCAUACUGUGGGACCUCGACGUGCUGUCCCUCAUCUUCUGGCGCGAGGGCGGCCGCCGCGUGCACUGGACGGGCCUUGGCAGCACCGGCGCAUCUCUGCAGCUCCACCUGAUGGUUGCCGCCCUCGACGAGGCGCACCCCCUCCUGGCCGACCUACUGCAGCAGCACAGCGACAUCUUCGACGAGCCACAGGGCCUCCCUCCCUCGCGGCCCUGUGACCACCGCAUCCACCUGCUGCCGAACAUGGCGCCUGUCGCCGUUCGUCCGUACCGAUACCCCCAGCUGCAGAAGGACGAGCUCGAGCGUCAGGUGGCGGUCAUGCUCGUGCAGGGCAUCAUCCGGAUUUCGACUUCACCGUUCUCCGCUCCGGUGCUCCUUGUGCGCAAGGCCGAUGGCACGUGGCGCUUCUGCAUCGACUUCCGCGCCCUCAACACCAUGACGUCCAAGGACAAGUUCCCCAUCCCCGUAGUGGAUGAGCUCCUGGACGAGCUACACGGCGCGCUUCUUCACCAAGCUCGACUUGCGCUCGGGCUAUCAUCAGGUGCGGAUGCACCCGGACGACAUCGCGAAGACGGCGUUCCGCACUCACCAUGGCCACUUUGAGUUCUUGGUGAUGCCGUUCGGCCUCUCCAACACGUCGGCGACUUUUCAGGCCCUGAUGAACGACGUGCUCAGCCCCUACUUAUGCCGCUUUGUGCUUGUUUUCUUUGAUGAUAUUCUUAUCUACAGCGCAUCCUGGGCAGAGCACCUGCAGCACGUGGCCAUCAUCUUCAACGAGCUUCGAGCGCAUCGUCUUCAUCUCAAGCGCUCGAAGUGCUCGUUUGGCACGACCUCCGUCGCGUACCUGGGCCACGUCAUCUCGACGGACGAUGUCGCGAUGGACGCGGACAAGGUCGCUGUUGUCGCCGCGUGGCCGACUCCGCAGUCGCCGCGGGCUCUUCGCGGUUUCUUGGGCCUCGCGGGGUACUACCGGAAGUACAUCCAGGACUUCGGCCUCAUCGUUGCGCCCCUCACGCGCCUCCUUCGCCACGACGCCUUCUCUUGGGACGAGGAGGCGCCUACGGCGUUCGCCGCCCUACAGCAGGCGCUCACAACGGGCCCCGUCCUCCAGAUGCCGGACUUCGACGUGACGUUCAUGGUGGACUGCGACGCCUCCGGCAUCGGCUGCGGCGCCGUCCUCCACCAGGGCGAGGGGCCGCUGGCCUUCUUCAGCCGUCCCUUCACCGCGCGUCAUCACAAGGUCGCCGCCUAUGAGCGUGAGCUGAUCGGGCUGGUCCAGGCGGUGCGCCACUGGCGGCCUUAUCUUUGGGGCCGGACAUUCCGUGUGCGCACGGACCACUACAGCCUGAAGUUCUUGCUAGAUCAGCGCCUCUCCACCGUGCCGCAGCAUGAGUGGAUCAGCAAGCUCUUCGGCUUCGACUUCACCGUCGAGUACCGCCCCGGUCGCCUCAACACGGUCGCCGACGCCCUGUCCCGCCGUGACGCCGACGACGUGACCGACGCCCCCACAGUAGGCACGGUCUUCUGCAUCCACUCCGGGCCGUCCUUCGCCUUCAUCGACGACAUCCACCGCGCUACUUCGACGGCCGCGGAUGCGCAGCAGCUGCGCCAGCGCCUGGCCGACGGCGAGCUGGCCGCGCCGUGGCGCCUGGACGAGGGGCUGCUCCUCCAUGGCCGCCGCAUAUUCGUGCCUGAUCAUGGCGACCUGCGCCACCAGGCCUUGGCCUUGGCGCACUCUGCAGGACACGAGGGCGUGCAGAAGACCCUUCACCGUCUCCGCGCUGAUUUUUACAUACCUGGGGAUGGCGCCCUGGUGCGCGACUGGUUGCGGUCGUGUGUGACGUGCCAGCGGAACAAGACGAAGACACUCAGGCCGGCGGGUCUAUUGCAGCCGCUGGACGUGCCCUCCCAGGUGUGGGCGGACAUCUCCAUGGACUUCAUCAAGGGGCUGCCGAAGGUUGUCGGCAAGUCCGUCAUCCUCACGGUGGUUGAUCGCUUCUCCAAGUACGCACACUUCAUCGUCCUCGGUCAUCCCUACACGGCUGCUUCGGUGGCACGCGCCUUCUUCGACGGCAUCGUCCGCCUCCACGACUUCCCGUCUUCCAUCGUCAGUGACCGUGACCCUAUGUUCACGGGCCACGUCUGGCGGGAUCUCUUUGGGUUGGCGGGCGUGAAGCUCCGCAUGAGCAUGUCGUUUCAUCCCCAGACGGACGGCCAGUCCGAGGUCGUCAACAAGAUCAUCGCCAUGUACCUGCGCUGCAUUACUGGAGAUCGUCCACGAGCUUGGGUGGACUGGCUGGCAUGGGCGGAGUACUGCUACAACACUUCCUACCACUCCGCGUGCACACCACACCCUUCGAGGUGGUCUAUGUGCGGCCACCUCCGGCGAUGCUUCCAUAUGUGCCUAGCACGGCGCGGACUGACACGGCGGACGACUUGCUCCGUACCCGCGACGAGAUACUGGCCGAGGCGCGCCAGCGACUUCUUCAGGCACAGCAGCUGGCUCGGACGUACUAUGAUGCGCAUCAUCGCGAGGCGGAGUUCGCGAUGGGCGACUGGGUGUGGUUGCACCUCCUCCACAGGACGGCCCCAAGCGCAAGUUGGGGCCUCGCUACGCCGGCCCCUUUCGUGUGCUGGAGCGUGUUGGCACGCUCGCCUACCGCCUUGAGCUACCUCCGGGGUCUCGCCUCCAUGACGUCUUCAACGUGGGCCUCCUGAAGGCCUACCGUGGCGACCCGCCUACUGCGCCACCAGCUCUUCCUCCUACUUCGGAUGGACGUCUCGCGCCCGCUCCUGCGACUGUGGCCCGAGUGAUGCAGGCGCAGCAGCGCCGCGGUGUGUGGCACGUCUUGGUGCAUUGGACAGGCAUGCCGGAGGAAGAAGCGACAUGGGAGAAGCUUGAUGAUUUCCACCAGCAGUUUCCAGAAGUUCAGCUCGAGGACGAGCUGUUUGAGAAGGCGGGGAGAGAUGUUAUGGUCGGUCUUACGUAUAGCCGUAAGAAGCCCACUAGUGGCUAGUUAUGGGCUUAGCCCAAGUUAUCUAGGGUUUAGAGGAGGCUGUCCUCCUAUAUAAACAUAUGUACCCCUUCGUGAUUAAUCAGACAAUAAACAGUAUUAAACUGUCGUCUCCUUGAGGGAGACGGGAGACCCCAAACCCUAGCCGCCUCCUGCCCUAGCGCCGCCUCCUCCUCACCCGCGUAGCGACGGCGCACCGCCGGCGCCAGCGCCCCCAACUCCUCCGCCCUCACUUCCACCCCUACAACCUUCGUCCGAGACCUGGUAGAACCCUAGCCUCUACCAUCGACAUCUUGGAAUUUGGGUUAAAGAGGUUGUUCAUCAAACAUAUUUGAUUACUGUGAAAGCUCGAAACCCACUGCUGGGAAAAAAAUGCAAAGUGGUCUGCUCCUAUUAGUGGGGUCACAAAAAUUAACUUUGAUGCAGCCUAUGAUGCAGGAUCUACUCAUGCUGCUACCGGCGUCGUGGCAAGAAUAUCUGAUGGUGAGUUUGUGCUAGCUGCUGCAAGGGGAUACGACAAUAUUCAAAAUCCCCUGACAGCUGAAACACUCGCUUUUAGAGAUGCAAUUACUGAAGCAGUCAAAGAAGGAUGGCAGCAUGUCCAUUUUGAAACAGCUUGUCAAAUAGGUAGUGGAGAAGCUAAGGAAAAUGCUAGUAACUUAGUUCCCCUUAAAGGCGACUGGUAUUGUUCCUUCACCAUAUGAUGCUUGAUUUGUAUAACUUGAUUCUGUUUUACCAUAGCAUAAAGUACCAGGCCUAUGACAUCUUUUCCUCUUUCUCAACUUUAAUCUUUCUGAUGUCCAUUUUUUAGCAAAAUCCAUUGAGUCAUUGUAUAAAUAAACUGGCUUGAUAACUUAUUUAUAGAGACAAACGCUUGCCACGGGCGUUCUUUUUUUCAGGGUUUCAAACUGUGACAUUAUUCCUUCCAUUAGAUUUACUGUUGCUAGUUCUCGUUCUAACCAUUAUUAUUUUUGUAGGCGUGACCGUGUGAAACGCACAAAGGCUAAAGCAAAGACUGAAUCUAUGCAUGUGGCUGACGAACAUCACAACCCACUCUAACAUAUAUUAAUCGCCUAUCUACCACUGAAAUAACUCCAUCUUGGAGGGAAUUGCUGUUUCCUCAAAGUCGCACCAAGAAGCGUAAACAGAACGAGAAGACUAACAAAAUUACCGUGGAUGCCAUCACCAACAAGCCAGAUUCAUUUCAGAGCAAACGAACACCCUCCCUUUCUCUCGCGCCUCUCCCCUCAGCAACAAGUGAAGGUGCAGCAAGCUCACCUGAAGCAGCCGAGUCCGUACAGGAUGACGAACACGGCAAGGGCCCCUGCGAUGGGGACGAGGAACUCUCGGCCCCUACCGAGUCCGGGUGCGCCGGGAGGGCGCUUGGUGCCCAGGGUGAGGGCGCCGCCACCGGGAGACGAAACCUUCGACAUCUCGCACUUUGGAUGCUCAGGGAGGAGGAGGGAUUCGCCGGGGAGGAGGAGGGGCUCGCUCGGAUUUCUCUCGCUUAGGUUCGGGGGGCAAAGGCAGCUUCUUCUUGCACUAGGGGUAAGAGAAAGGGGAUGGGAGGAGG
rnacentral:lncRNA from 1 species